rnacentral:rRNA from 1 species
UGGGGAAUUUUGGACAAUGGGGGAAACCCUGAUCCAGCCAUCCCGCGUGUGCGAUGAAGGCCUUCGGGUUGUAAAGCACUUUUGGCAGGAAAGAAACGUCGCGGGUUAAUACCCCGCGAAACUGACGGUACCUGCAGAAUAAGCACCGGCUAACUACGUGCCAGCAGCCGCGGUAAUACGUAGGGUGCAAGCGUUAAUCGGAAUUACUGGGCGUAAAGCGUGCGCAGGCGGUUCGGAAAGAAAGAUGUGGAAUCCCAGAGCUUAACUUUGGAACUGCAUUUUUAACUACCGGGCUAGAGUGUGUCAGAGGGAGGUGGAAUUCCGCGUGUAGCAGUGAAAUGCGUAGAUACGCGGAGGAACACCGAUGGCGAGGGCAGCCUCCUGGGAUAACACUGACGCUCAUGCACGAAAGCGUGGGGAGCAAACAGGAUUAGAUACCCUGGUAGUCCACGCCCUAAACGAUGUCAACUAGCUGUUGGGGCCUUCGGGCCUUGGUAGCGCAGCUAACGCGUGAAGUUGACCGCCUGGGGAGUACGGUCGCAAGAUU